UACGUAGGCAGCAAGCGUUGUUCGGAGUUACUGGGCGUAAAGAGUAUGUAGGCGGUUGGGUAAGUUUGGUGUGAAAUCUCCCGGCUUAACUGGGAGGGUGCGCUAAAGACUGCCUGGCUCGAGUGUGGGAUAGGAAAGCGGAAUUCCUGGUGUAGCGGUGAAAUGCGUAGAUAUCAGGAGGAACACCUGCGGUGUAGACGGCUUUCUGGACCAUAACUGACGCUGAGAUACGAAAGCGUGGGUAGCAAACAGG
rnacentral:rRNA from 1 species